rnacentral:rRNA from 1 species
UACGAAGGGGGCUAGCGUUGCUCGGAAUCACUGGGCGUAAAGGGUGCGUAGGCGGGUCUUUAAGUCAGAGGUGAAAUCCUGGGGCUCAACUCCAGAACUGCCUUUUGAUACUGAAGAUCUUGAGUUCGGGAGAGGUGAGUGGAACUGCGAGUGUAGAGGUGAAAUUCGUAGAUAUUCGCAAGAACACCAGUGGCGAAGGCGGCUCACUGGACCGGAACUGACGCUGAGGCGCGAAAGCGUGGGGAGCAAACAGG